rnacentral:rRNA from 1 species
UAGGGAAUCUUCGGCAAUGGGGGCAACCCUGACCGAGCAACGCCGCGUGAGUGAAGAAGGUUUUCGGAUCGUAAAGCUCUGUUGUAAGUCAAGAACGAGUGUGAGAGUGGAAAGUUCACACUGUGACGGUAGCUUACCAGAAAGGGACGGCUAACUACGUGCCAGCAGCCGCGGUAAUACGUAGGUCCCGAGCGUUGUCCGGAUUUAUUGGGCGUAAAGCGAGCGCAGGCGGUUUGAUAAGUCUGAAGUUAAAGGCUGUGGCUCAACCAUAGUUCGCUUUGGAAACUGUCAAACUUGAGUGCAGAAGGGGAGAGUGGAAUUCCAUGUGUAGCGGUGAAAUGCGUAGAUAUAUGGAGGAACACCGGUGGCGAAAGCGGCUCUCUGGUCUGUAACUGACGCUGAGGCUCGAAAGCGUGGGGAGCGAACAGGAUUAGAUACCCUGGUAGUCCACGCCGUAAACGAUGAGUGCUAGGUGUUGGAUCCUUUCCGGGAUUCAGUGCCGUAGCUAACGCAUUAAGCACUCCGCCUGGGGAGUACGACCGCAAGGUUG